UACGUAGGGGGCUAGCGUUGUCCGGAAUCAUUGGGCGUAAAGAGCGUGUAGGCGGCCCGGUAAGUCCGCUGUGAAAGUCGGGGGCUCAACCCUCGGAUGCCGGUGGAUACUGUCGGGCUCGAGUACGGAAGAGGCGAGUGGAAUUCCUGGUGUAGCGGUGAAAUGCGCAGAGUAUCAGGAGGAACACCUAUUGCGAAGGCAGCUCGCUGGGACGUUACUGACGCUGAGACGCGAAAGCGUGGGGAGCAAACAGG
rnacentral:rRNA from 1 species